AUACGGAGGGUGCAAGCGUUACUCGGAAUCACUGGGCGUAAAGCGCGCGCAGGCGGCUAUUUAAGUUGGAUGUGAAAGCCUACGGCUCAACCGUAGAACUGCAUCCAAAACUAUUUAGCUAGAGUGUGAGAGAGGAAGAUGGAAUUAGUUGUGUAGGGGUAAAAUCCGUAGAGAUAACUAGGAAUACCAAAAGCGAAGGCAAUCUUCUGGAACACUACUGACGCUGAGGCGCGAAAGCGUGGGGAGCAAACAGAAGUAGAUACCCUAGUAGUCC
rnacentral:rRNA from 1 species